AUUGUAGCCCUCCAGGCUCCUCUCUUAAUGGGAUUUCCCAGGUAAGGAUACUGGGGUGGGUUGCUAUUUCUUCCUCCAGGGCAUCUUCCCAACCCAGAGAUCGAACCCAGGGAUGUCUCCUGCAUCGGUAGGUGGAUUCUUUACCCACUGAGCCACCAGGGUAGCCCUCAUAUAUCACCUAUCCAUCCAUUUACCUACCCUCCAUCUAUCCAUCAUGUAUCAGCCAUCCAUCCAUCCACUGUCUACCCACCCAACCAUCAUCUGUCUAUCCACCGUCUACUCACCCACUCAUCCUCCAUCCAUUCACAUUCAUCUGCUGUCCAUACUCCAUCCACCCAUCCAUCCACCAUCGAUCCUUCAUCCAUCCAUUCAUCCACCAUUUGCCAUCUACCCACCCAUCCACCCACUCCUUCAUUCAUCCAUUGCUCCAAGUAAUUACCAGGCAUUAAUAUAUGCUGGGUAGUAUUUUAGGUAUCAGAGUAUCAGGUAGUGAAAAACUGCUGUGAAAACUCCCUGUCCUCAGGAGGUCACUUCCAGUAAGCACACAAGCAAUAUGCUAGAGAGUAGAGGUCGCCUGAGUGCCCCUGCCCGUCUGAUACUUGGGGCAAACUGUUGGCUCUCAGGCCUGAGGCCAGCCCCAUGGGUUCUCUUUGGGUCUCAUGGUAAGAGGCUCCUGAGCAGUCCAGGUGCUCUGCACAGACUCCUGUCUCCCAGAAGUCUCCACCGAGUGGGGGCCAGUUGAAUUUAGAGUUAAUGCCUGUGGAGAGCCUGACUCAGCCUCUCAGCCUCAGGGGUCUUGCUCCAUGGAAGCUGCCCCCACCACGCCCCUUCCGCCUGUAUCCCCCAGCUCACCCUGCUCUCUGUCAGUCCUUUGCCACUGCCUUGGUGCGUGGGGCUCAGCCCCAGCCUGCGCACCCCCUCUUGUACUAUCCUCUCCCCCGCGCUCCCAGCAGGCCCACGCAGCCUCCGCACACGGGGGGCCCUGGGAGUAUGUGGUUAACUGGAUGACUAACCCAGUCCCCACAAGGCAGUGCGAAAUGGCUGCUUCAGUAAAUUUCCAAAUGUGUCCGGAGCUGACGACUUCGUUUUCCUCCCAAGCACCAAACAGGCUGAGCAGAGAGGCCUGGCGCUGUUCAGGCAGCCGAAUCAAGCUUCUAGACACGUCCCCACUGCAGCGUCUCAGCUCAGACCUCCCUUUGGCCUCGUGACUCUGUUUAUACCGGAGCCAGCCGAACCCAGUUUUGCUAAAGACACGUUUCUUCAGCCUGCUUUGAAAAUGCUUCACCAACGGCCACUCAUCUGGUGGUGUAUGAGACGUGUGCCUCCAGCCAGCAGCCAAGACUCAUCCCAGUGGCCUCUCUGCUCUCACAGCCCUUCGGGUGCCGUCUCUUGAGGAAUGUCCUGGGAUUGAAGCCAUGUGUGGCCAGACUCCUGUCUUCUCAGCGUUUGGAGGGUGGCCAGUUCAGCCUUCCCUUAGCACUGGGGAGAGGAGAGCAGACCACACAGCGGCUAAGAGUUUGGGCACUGGGGGCCGCACUGCCUGGGUUUGAAUGCCAGCCUUGUGGCUCACUCUCUUGUCUUAGUUUCCUAGGUGGGUUCUCCAAGGAUGAUGGAGAUGGGCGUGGAAAACCUCAGCUCUGGGCUGAGGCACAAAGUUGAGCCUUCAAUGCACAGCAGCCCCUGAGAAUGAAAGGUCUUGGUUCUGUCCCCCUUACCACCCAGCUGCUCUGGUUGACUCCGUGCCUGCAGAAGAAAAUGAAUUUCCUAGGGAAUUGCCACCUCAAGGCGUUUAUUUAUGUGCUACACGCUUUUCAAAUAUUUUCUUAUUUUGCCUUUUG
rnacentral:lncRNA from 1 species